GAUGAGCGCUGGCGGCGUGCCUAAUACAUGCAAGUCGAGCGAAUCUAAGGGAGCUUGCUCCCAAAGAUUAGCGGCGGACGGGUGAGUAACACGUGGGCAACCUACCUGUAAGACUGGGAUAACUUCGGGAAACCGGAGCUAAUACCGGAUAACAUAUGAGACCACAUGGUCUUAUAUUAAAAGAUGGCUUCUUGCUAUCACUUACGGAUGGGCCCGCGGCGCAUUAGCUAGUUGGUGAGGUAACGGCUCACCAAGGCAACGAUGCGUAGCCGACCUGAGAGGGUGAUCGGCCACACUGGGACUGAGACACGGCCCAGACUCCUACGGGAGGCAGCAGUAGGGAAUCUUCCGCAAUGGACGAAAGUCUGACGGAGCAACGCCGCGUGAGCGAAGAAGGUCUUCGGAUCGUAAAGCUCUGUUGUUAGGGAAGAACAAGUAUCGUUCGAAUAGGGCGGUACCUUGACGGUACCUAACCAGAAAGCCACGGCUAACUACGUGCCAGCAGCCGCGGUAAUACGUAGGUGGCAAGCGUUAUCCGGAAUUAUUGGGCGUAAAGCGCGCGCAGGCGGUCCUUUAAGUCUGAUGUGAAAGCCCACGGCUCAACCGUGGAGGGUCAUUGGAAACUGGGGGACUUGAGUGCAGAAGAGGAGAGCGGAAUUCCACGUGUAGCGGUGAAAUGCGUAGAGAUGUGGAGGAACACCAGUGGCGAAGGCGGCUCUCUGGUCUGUAACUGACGCUGAGGCGCGAAAGCGUGGGGAGCGAACAGGAUUAGAUACCCUGGUAGUCCACGCCGUAAACGAUGAGUGCUAAGUGUUAGAGGGUUUCCGCCCUUUAGUGCUGAAGUCAACGCAUUAAGCACUCCGCCUGGGGAGUACGGUCGCAAGACUGAAACUCAA
rnacentral:rRNA from 1 species